AGAGUUUGAUCCUGGCUCAGGAUGAACGCUGGCGGUCUGCUUAACACAUGCAAGUCGAACGGGCUCUUCGGAGCUAGUGGCGGACGGGUGAGUAACGCGUGAGAAUCUGCCCUCAGGUACGGGGACAACAGCUGGAAACGGCUGCUAAUACCCGAUGUGCCGAGAGGUGAAAGGAUUUAUCGCCUGAGGAUGAGCUCGCGUCUGAUUAGCUAGUUGGUAGGGUAAGAGCCUACCAAGGCGACGAUCAGUAGCUGGUCUGAGAGGAUGAUCAGCCACACUGGGACUGAGACACGGCCCAGACUCCUACGGGAGGCAGCAGUGGGGAAUUUUCCGCAAUGGGCGCAAGCCUGACGGAGCAAGACCGCGUGCGGGAUGAGGGUCUGUGGACUGUAAACCGCUUUUGAUAGGGAAGAAGACAGUGACGGUACCUAUCGAAUCAGCCUCGGCUAACUCCGUGCCAGCAGCCGCGGUAAUACGGAGGAGGCAAGCGUUAUCCGGAAUUAUUGGGCGUAAAGCGUCCGUA
rnacentral:rRNA from 1 species